CCUACGGGAGGCAGCAGUGAGGAAUAUUGGGCAAUGGGCGCGAGCCUGAACCAGCCAAGUAGCGUGAAGGAUGACUGCCCUACGGGUUGUAAACUUCGUUUAUAAAGGAAUACAUUGAUGCACGUGUGCCUGUUUGUAUGUACUUUAUGAAUUAGGAUCGGCUAACGCCGCUCCAGCAGCCGCGGUAAUACGGAGGGUCGGUGUGUUAUCUGGAUUUAUUGGGUUUAAAGGGAGCGUAGAUGGGUUGUUAAGUCAGUUGUGAAAGUUUGCGGCUCAACCGUAAAAUUGCAAUUGAUACUGGCAGUCUUGAGUACAGUUGAGGUAGGCGGAAUUCGUGGUGUAGCGGUGAAAUGCUUAGAUAUCACGAAGAACUCCGAUUGCGAAGGCAGCUUACUAAACUGCCACUGACAUUGAUGCGCGAAAGUGUGGGUAUCAAACAGGAUUAGAUACCCCUGUAGUC
rnacentral:rRNA from 1 species